rnacentral:rRNA from 1 species
CGAAGUCUGGUGCCAGCAGCCGCGGUAAUUCCAGCUCCAAUAGCGUAUAUUAAAGUUGUUGCAGUUAAAAAGCUCGUAGUUGAAUUUCGGGAUCAAUAUAUCGGUCGUGCCUUGGUACGUACUGGUAUCAUUGGUUUCUCCUUUCUGACGAACCAUGAUGUCAUUAAUUUGGUGUUAUGGGAAGUUAGGACUGUUACUUUGAAAAAAUUAGAGUGUUUAAAGCAGGCUUUAGCUUGAAUACAUUAGCAUGGAAUAAUGAAAUAGGACGUUCGAACCUAUUUUAGUUGGUUUCUAGGAUCAACGUAAUGAUUAAUAGGGAUAGUUGGGGGCAUUAGUAUUCAAUUGUCAGAGGUGAAAUUCUUGGAUUUAUUGAAGACUAACUACUGCGAAAGCAUUUGCCAAGGAUGUUUUCAUUAAUCAAGAACGAAAGUUAGGGGAUCGAAGACGAUCAGAUACCGUCGUAGUCUUAACCAUAAACUAUGCCGACUAGGGAUCGGAUGAUGUUAAUUUUUUAAUGACUCAUUCGGCGCCUUACG